GAUGAACGCUGGCGGCGUGCCUAACACAUGCAAGUCGAGCGGACGGACGAUGCUUUUGCUUGGCUGAUGUGAGCGGCGGGCGGGUGAGUAACACGUGUAUAACCUACCUAUAAGACUGGGAUAAUUACGGGAAACCGGAUAUAAUACCGGAUAAGAUUUUGAACCGCAGGGGGCAUAGGUGAAAGACGGUGGUGCUGGCACUAAUAGAGGGAUCCGCGCUGGAUUGGCUAGUUGUUAAGGUAAAGGCUUACCAAGGCGAGGAUGCAUAGCCGCCCUGACAGGAUGAUCAGCCACCCUGGAACUGAGACACGCUCCAGACUCCUACGGGAGGCAGCAGUAGGGAAUCUUCGGCAAUGGGCGAAAGACUGACGGAGCAACGCCGCGUGAGUGAUGAAGGUCUUCGGAUCGUAAAACUCUGUUAUUAGGGAGGAACACAUGUGUACGUAACUCUGCACGUCUUGACGGUACCUAAUUAGAAAGCCACGGCUAACUUCGUG
rnacentral:rRNA from 1 species